rnacentral:rRNA from 1 species
UGGCGACCGGCGCACGGGUGAGUAACGCGUAUGCAACCUGCCCGAUACCGGGGUAUAGCCCAUGGAAACGUGGAUUAACACCCCAUAGUACUUUUAUCCUGCAUGGGAUGUGAGUUAAAUGUUCAAGGUAUCGGAUGGGCAUGCGUCCUAUUAGUUAGUUGGCGGGGUAACAGCCCACCAAGACGAUGAUAGGUAGGGGUUCUGAGAGGAAGGUCCCCCACAUUGGUACUGAGACACGGUCCAA